rnacentral:lncRNA from 1 species
AUGACCCUUUUUUCGUUGCCUCGAAGGCCAGAGACUUCCCAAGAGCGCAAUAGCCAGGCCCCGCCCCUCUAUCCUGCCGCACCUCCUCAUUGGCGGAGAGUAAUGUUUCCGUUAGUCAAUCGCGUUAGCCCUAGCACCCGACUCCACCCACGCAGAAUCCUGGGCGUACGCAAUUGGUCAGAAAUGGAAGCUUACUUGCUCUUGAUGCUCCGGCUCCUGGUUCAUCUCAGCAAUUUGCCUGACAGAGCUAUGUCCUAG